rnacentral:rRNA from 1 species
UUCUUUGAAACAAACUUGCUUUGGCGGUGGGCCCAGCCUGCCGCCAGAGGUCUAAACUUACAACCAAUUUUUUAUUAACUUGUCACACCAGAUUAUUACUAAAUAGUCAAAACUUUCAACAACGGAUCUCUUGGUUCUCGCAUCGAUGAAGAACGCAGCGAAAUGCGAUACGUAAUAUGAAUUGCAGAUAUUCGUGAAUCAUCGAAUCUUUGAACGCACAUUGCGCCCUCUGGUAUUCCGGAGGGCAUGCCUGUUUGAGCGUCGUUUCUCCCUCAAACCGCUGGGUUUGGUGUUGAGCAAUACGACUUGGGUUUGCUUGAAAGACGGUAGUGGUAAGGCGGGAUCGCUUUGACAAUGGCUUAGGUCUAACCAAAAACAUUGCUUGCGGCGGUAACGUCUACCACGUAUAUCUUCAAACUUUGACCUCAAAUCAGGUAGGACUACCCGCUGAAA